AGAAGCAGAGAUAAAACAGACUAAGUACACAGAGGAGUUUAAAGUUUCGUGAAUGUAAGUGCUGAGUACAGAAUGGUGUUCAAUAAAAGCUUGUUAAUUGAUGGACCACAGGUUUGUGACAAGACUUCUCAGAGUCUGAUUCUUUCAAGGUGGGAUGUAAGAGUAAGUAAAUGGCAUGGGGAAAAUCUGAUUGCCACAGACAGAAGAAUGAAACUGGAUGCCUAUCUCUCACAAUACACAAAAGCGAUUCAAGAUUAAAGACUUAACUAUACCUUGACUAUGAAUAAUAGUUUCAAUAAGGAAGACAGAAUGAGUUCUGACACGAAGGUUGGGAGCUGUGACAGGCAGACGAAAAAUGGAGCCAAAUGGCAUGGAGGUGUGUCAUCACUGCUGGAUUUUACCUUGAUCUACAUUCAGUUAUCUACUUCUUUUCUAAAUGCUGGGCAUUCAUUCAAGAAACAGCAUAUAUGUUCUGACUUUGAAGUAAUUGAUGAACUGUCAUGUACAGUAUAUGGAAAUAAGUUUUAUUACCUUCUUCCCACAUUAACUCAUCCAUCCAUUCAAUAGCCAUUUAUUGAGAAGCUCACUCUGUGUUAGGCACAGUGGUGUCAUGAUGUUGGAACAGUAACAAUAACUCAACCAACCAGGGCUUGUCUGAAUACAAUCCUACAGCAGCAGGAGCUGUGGAGAUAUAGAAGGCAAGGAAGACCAGGUUGUGAGGGAAGACGAAUUUACUCCCAGGAAUGUUGGGAUUGAGAGUAAUAUUCUCCAAUAAUGGUGGAAGACAGAACAAUAAAAGCCCACCAGCUCCUUCUGCAUGGUGGGAUAAGAGAAAAGCCAAGGGCAGAAGUGAGACAAAUAACCAUCACCAAAUUGAAAAGAAAACCUUUAUAACAAAAACUGGAUUGAUAAAUGACCUUUAGUAGUGGAAAGAUACCAUUCCAAUGAAGCAUGAAUUGAAAGGAUUUCUUCUGAAAGCUAAUUUACAUUUUUCUUUUUUUUUUCAUUUUCAGUGUGUUUUAGCAGGUGUAUUGUUCUACAUGGUUAGUUUCUUUACCUCUUUGAAAAAAAUGGGUCAGCUUGACACAUCUGGAUGAAAGAAUCCGUCAGGUGAUUAUGAUUGAAGACAGAUUAAGCCUUGUUAUGAGGGGAAUAUUUGGGGGCUUACCCUGAGGUGAUAUUUGAUGAUUUAGCUGUGGGAGAAUUUCCCUCCCAAGAUCAGCGUGACUGACACUGAAAUUGCUACAGGGGAACUGGACCUUUCCAAGAGGUGACAAGGACAUUUACCUGGUACAACACAAUAGUUCUGGACUGGAAGUCUAGUCCCAUUGAUGAAGUUCCCAAAAGAUGUCCAGGUCCUAAUCCCUGGAAUCUGUGAAUAUGUCAUCUUACACAUCAAAAGAACUUUGAAAAUGUGAUUGAGGUUAAGGACCUUGGAAUGAGGAGAUUACCUUGGAUUAUCUGGUUGGGUCCAAGCUAAUCACAUGAGUCCUUAAAGGAGAAGAACCUUUUUUAGCUGGGUCAGAGAGAGAUGUGAUGAUGAAAACAGGCUCAGAGAGAUGCACUGUAAGAAGGGCUUGACCAGUUGUUUUUGACUUUGAAGAUGGAGGGAAGGGCCAGGAGCCAAGGAAGGUGGGUGGCUUUUGGAAGGUGGAAAAAGCAAGGGAACAUUCUCCUCCAGAGCCUCCAGAAAGGAGCUCAGCCCUGUUGACAUCUUUGUUUUUAUUUUUUAUUUUUAGUAGCAUUGAGGUCUCACUAUGUUGCACAGGCUGGUCUUGAACUCUUGAGCUCAAGCAAUCCUCCCGCCUUGGCUUCCCAAAGUGCUGGGAUUACAGGCAUGUGCCACCACAUCUGGCUUCCUACUAACAUCUUAACUUGAGUGCAGUGAGACUCAUAUUUGAAUUUCUGACCUUAUAUUAUAGAACCAUAAGACAUUAUAGAAUUAUAUAGAAUUAUAGAACCAAAAGACAAUAACUUUGUGUAGUUUUAAGAUACUAAAUUUUUGGUAAUUUGUUAUGGCAGCACAAUAAAACCAAUAUAGCAUUAUAUU